rnacentral:rRNA from 1 species
AUUGAACGCUGGCGGCAUGCCUUACACAUGCAAGUCGAACGGUAACGGGCCUUCGGGUGCCGACGAGUGGCGAACGGGUGAGUAAUACAUCGGAACGUGCCCGAUCGUGGGGGAUAACGAGGCGAAAGCUUUGCUAAUACCGCAUACGAUCUACGGAUCAAAGCAGGGGACCGCAAGGCCUUGCGCGGACGGAGCGGCCGAUGGCAGAUUAGGUAGUUGGUGGGAUAAAAGCUUACCAAGCCGACGAUCUGUAGCUGGUCUGAGAGGAUGAUCAGCCACACUGGGACUGAGACACGGCCCAGACUCCUACGGGAGGCAGCAGUGGGGAAUUUUGGACAAUGGGCGCAAGCCUGAUCCAGCCAUGCCGCGUGCAGGAUGAAGGCCUUCAGGUUGUAAACUGCUUUUGUACGGAACGAAAAGCCUUCUUUUAAUACAGGAGGGUCAUGACGGUACCGUAAGAAUAAGCACCGGCUAACUACGUG